rnacentral:lncRNA from 1 species
AUAAAUAGUAUUACCACAAGCCCUAAGUAGCUUGCAUAAUAACAUCACUAUUGGAAAAUGGGUUCCAAAUACCAACUUGGAACUAUAGAAUCACAUCCUGGCCUGAUAUACCUAACAAAAAUGUUCUUUCUCCUCAAUCCCACAUUUCUAAAACACUGAAAACCUAGAGGACUGCAGGUCUGAUUCACUGAUUGGGGUUUCUUCUGCCUAUGAUAGGGUUUCUGAAAGGUCAAGGUAGGGAGUAUGCAACAGGACAUGAGGGAUGAAGAUGCUACAAAAGACGAGGUUAUUUCCUUGGUUUAAAAUCCAUCUCAAUUUUUCCUGAGGGUUUUAAAAAACAAACAAAAACAAAAACAAAACAAAACAAAAAUAACUUUUCUACCUCUACCCUCCUAGGAAUUGCUGUCUCUGCUGGUCUUCAUUGUUAAGCAGAUGCUGAAUUGCACACUCUACAAACCACUGGAAGCAUAGAAUACUUUCUACCAGAUUAUCUACACAACCUAAUGGGGAGAGCUGAUUGUCUUAAGUGUUCAAUAGCUCACUGUGAUUGUUGAGAAGUCAACACAGGGACAAGGAAAUCUCAGAUGGUUGUCUACAGUUACAAGGGGGAUUGUUGGACUGAUUUGUGAUUUUUCUGGGAAUGCAACUCAAGUUAGAAGAGGCCAUUAUCUGAAAGAAGAAGAAGCACCAGCUGAUGUGUUGGUUAUUUUAGGGCGACAUUUGCAGUUGCUUGGGCAAUAUCAUGAGCCUCACCUCAUGCAGGUAAGAUCUGGAUGGGCACUAGAUGACAGUGCACAGCUUGUAUUUCUUUCAAAGGAGCGUUCACUUUCAACUACACAAGGCAUGAUUUCUAGACUAUUUUCUGAAAGGCUGGAAAGUGAAUGUGAAGUUCUGAAGACUUGGUCCCUGGCUCUGCUCAACCAAAAUUUUUU